UAGGGAAUAUUGGACAAUGGGUGAGAGCCUGAUCCAGCCAUGCCGCGUGCAGGAAGAAGGCGUUAUGCGUUGUAAACUGCUUUUUGCCAGGGGAUAAAAAGACCGUGCGCGGUUAAUUGAAGGUACCUGGUGAAUAAGCCACGGCUAACUACGUGCCAGCAGCCGCGGUAAUACGUAGGUGGCAAGCGUUGUCCGGAUUUAUUGGGUUUAAAGGGUGCGUAGGUGGCCCUGUAAGUCAGUGGUGAAAUAUCUCAGCUUAACUGAGAGGGUGCCAUUGAUACUGCAGGGCUUGAGUACAGAUGAGGUAGGCGGAAUUGACGGUGUAGCGGUGAAAUGCAUAGAUAUCGUCAAGAACACCGAUAGCGAAGGCAGCUUACCAAGCUGUAACUGACACUGAGGCACGAAAGUGUGGGGAUCAAACAGGAUUAGAUACCCGGGUAGUCCCUGAGCGGGCUGGCAAGGCGCAU
rnacentral:rRNA from 1 species